rnacentral:lncRNA from 1 species
GUAUGGUGAUUACUGGAGGGAUGGUUCGGUGGUUGAUGUAUAGACCAGAGACUGAUGCAUGGGAUAACGAUCGAUGCUGGUGACGUUCUUGGUGGCCACAGGACUCAUGACUCCGCAUGGGAUUGGGGGUCAAUUGUGGAGACCUUUGGGGAUGGGCUUUUCAGCCUGGAUGAAUAUCGACAGGCUUCGAGGAUCCUCAUUGGUUAGCCCUCACUCUGAUCUGUUAGAAAUUAUGUCCCAAAGAGCCUAUUGAUGGUUGUGCUUAUCAUUGUAUAUGAAUUAUUGAAUUAAUAAANNNNNNNNNNNNNNNNNNNNCCUUAAAUGAGUUCGUGACCAAAUGAUAUGCUAUUACUAGGAUGAUAGACAUAUCAAGUGUAGGUCGUUGUGUGCCAUACAGGUUGGUUGUCCUCUUAACCAAGGAGCAUGGAGACGCUGGUAUGGCAUGCAGGUGAAAUAUAAGAGUAUAUUUCACUGAACAUGACCAACUCUGGAGUACUCUGCUGUCAAGAGUCACUCCGAAGGGAUAUAGAUAUAAGUAUCCCUCCGACCUAAAAUCACCACAGUGACUUGCAAGCAACUCACUAUACUUUGGUGCCAGACUACUUGAAUUUUUAAUUCAGCGAUGAAAAAUUUUUGAGCACAGUCAAGUACUUAUGAAGUCGGUGUGUGAGUCAAGAUAGAAUUGAUCCCUUCGAAUAAGUAGGAGUUAAUGUAUCAGUGUGUUUCAGUUCAGUAAAAUCUUGAUCGGAGUAAUCCAUGUGAUGGAUUUUAAAAAUUGAAAUACAAUGUGGAUGAUCAUAUCAGGGUUGGCAGUUAAAUCCUAGAUCACCUUGAGCAUUUGGGUCAAAGAGAUGAAUUAUACGGUAACUAUAUUCAAAUAGGUUCUGGAGUGUUGCUUAGCAUACAUUCGGCCUAUCUGAACGUCGUGUAUCAUUGUUAGAUGGUUACUCUGAUUGGUGCAGAAAUUAGUUCCUAUGCUACCGACUUAGGUUCGAACCUAUGAGGUCACAUACAUUAGAAGUUUCUAUCUGAUCAUAUGGCUAAUCUGAAGAGUCCCAGUCAAUGGAGACUCUAGUGAAGAGUCCCACUUGACGGGGACUCUGCUAAAGAGUCUCAUUAGACGGGGACUCUAGAGAAGAAUCCCACUAGACUUGGACUCUAUCAUUAAUAAAGGAUUAAUUAGUGAUUAGAUUACUAAUUAGCUCAAUUUGAUUGAGUAUUAAAGUUUGGAUCAAGUUUGAUUGAAUUUGAUUCAAUCAGGUCAAGUCUGAUUAGGUUAUGAGAUGACCUAAUCGGUAAGGGAGAAAUGAUCCUGAUUUGAUCAGAUCUAUGACUCAAUUAAUUUAUUAAUUUGAUUAAAUUUAAUUAAUAUUAUAAAAUUCUAAUUGAAUUAAGUUUAUCAUAUUUUAUUUUGAUCUAAUUGGAUUGGAUUUGAAAGAAAUCCAAUUGGUUAAACCCUAGAGUCCCAAAUGAGUAGGACUCUAUCCCUUGCGCCACCUAAAUUAUCUCACACCUUUUUUCACCACAC